UACAAUGAAUAAGUUUCAUUUCCGCAUAUGAUAUGAUAACCUAUAAGUCUCCAAUCGUGCACAGGUCAUAAUUCACAGAAUUUGAACUUUACAUAUAAAGAGGCAUUCUUAUUGGCGCAUAGUUAAGAUAAACUGAUAGGUUAGGGAACGAAAGAAUGAAAUCGCCAUUUCUAUUUGUAUACAUCAGC